AUUGAACGCUGGCGGCAGGCCUAACACAUGCAAGUCGAGCGCGCGGCGGACGGGUGAGUAAUGUAUGGGGACUGCCCGAUAGAGGGGGAUAACUACUGGAAAAGGUAGAUAAAAUCGCAUACUACCGGAUACUCCACAUGGGAUUAGCUAGUAGGUGGGGUAUUGGCUCACCUAGGCGACGAUCCCUAGCUGGUGUGAGAGGAUGAUCAGCCACACUGGAACUGAGACACGGCCCAGACUCCUACGGAGGCAGCAGUGGGGAAUAUUGCACAAUGGGCGCAAGCCUGAUGCAGCCAUGCCGCGUGUAUGAAGAAGGCCCUAGGGUUGUAAAGUACUUUCAGUCGGGAGGCGUUACCGGCAGAAGAAGCACCGGCUAACUCCGUGCCAGCAGCCGCGGUAAUUC
rnacentral:rRNA from 1 species